AAUGAGAUGGUUGGGUGGACCCAAUUCAGCAAAGUCUCAAGGAAGUGAGAGCAUGAGGGGGUGUGCCAUGGGAAGGUCUGGGGGAAGAACAUUCCAGAAGGAUGGAGCAGCUGGAGCAGAAGUGCUGCCCCCGGAGAGUUACAGGGAUGGUGCUGCACCGAGUGUGCCUGGGAGGGGUGAGCAGUAGAAGCUGGCGGGGAGAAGGCGAGGUGGAGAGGAAGAAGGUGUGUGGGGACAUCUGAUGUCCACCGAGGCUCGUGUCCUCUGCGGGGCUUUGGGAAGUGCCUGGAUUACGGGCCAGCAGCAGACGGCUGGUGGGCGGUGUGGUCUGGCAGGCAGAGGCGGUCCCCGGAGGAGUGCAGUGAAGGGUGUCUGUCCCUCCUGCUCCUUUCAUGGUCCGCUUCCCGGAGCCCUUAGGCUAAGCAGCUUCUGUCCUGCCAGGCUGCUCUGCCAGGCUGCCCUCCUGCCUCGGAGCCAGCUGACGACAGCCUGAAAUGUGAGCCAAGAUAAACCCCCUUCUCGUCAGACAGUUGCCAGAGCCUUGCCUUUCAGAGGGGAAAAGACAUUUGAGCCUUGUAAGUGGCGUGAUCGGACUUGGCAUGUCUGGUUUCCGCAUUCAGAAUACACUGGGAAAGAGUGAAGACCAGCAGCAGGUGCGGAGAGCCCUGGCUGGAAGCUACCGGAAUAACCCAGGUGGCAAACAGCUCAGAGGUACCACUGCAAAGAAGCCGCGGAGGGGUCAGCGGCGCGGCCAGGAAGGACACAGCGCUUCUCACACGAGUGUCUGACGCCAGCCAGCAUGCGCCGGUCAGAGACCCACGAUCGCCUGGAGGCUGAGAACCUUGGAGAUUUCCCGUGCAAAGCUGCGUCAGCAUCCUCAGAGCACCUGGGAAAAUCCUGCAGCCCUUUCUGCUUGGGCAGGGUUAGGGCCGAGGUGCUCGGGAAGAAAAAGCCAAUUUGAAAUUUCUCUUAGUUUUGGAAGACAAGGGGAUAGUGACAUUUCUUAAAAAAAAAACAAAACACUGUAUUAAAGUAUGAUUGAUUCAGAAA